rnacentral:rRNA from 1 species
CCCUACGGGACGCAGCAGUGAGGAAUAUUGGUCAAUGGGCGGGAGCCUGAACCAGCCAAGUCGCGUGAGGGACGACGGUCCAAUGGAUUGUAAACCUCUUUUGUCGGGGAACAAAGGCGCCCACGGGUGGCCGGAUGAGUGUACCUGAAGAAAAAGCAUCGGCUAACUCCGUGCCAGCAGCCGCGGUAAUACGGAGGAUGCGAGCGUUAUCCGGAUUUAUUGGGUUUAAAGGGUGCGUAGGCGGACAGUCAAGUCAGCGGUAAAAAUGCGGGGCUCAACGCCGGCCAGCCGUUGAAACUGGCAGU